rnacentral:rRNA from 1 species
UACGGAGGGGGCUAGCGUUGUUCGGAAUUACUGGGCGUAAAGGGCGUGUAGGCGGUAUAUCAAGUCAGGCGUGAAAGCCCUGGGCUCAACCUAGGAUGUGCGCAUGAAACUGAUAAACUAGAGAUCGGAAGAGGAGAGUAGAAUUUCCAGUGUAGAGGUGAAAUUCGUAGAUAUUGGAAGGAAUACCAGUGGCGAAGGCGGCUCUCUGGUCCGAAUCUGACGCUGAGGCGCGAAAGCGUGGGGAGCAAACAGG